rnacentral:rRNA from 1 species
AAGUGGAGCAAUCCAUGAGUAGCGUGGCAAACGGGUGAGUAACGCGUGGGCGACCUACCUCAGAGUGGGGGAUAACCUUCCGAAAGGGAGGCUAAUACCGCAUGACAUCCCAUUUUUAGAUAGAUGGUGAUCAAAGCCGGGGAUCGUAAGACCUGGCGCUUGGAGAGGGGCCCGCGUCCGAUUAGCUAGUUGGUGAGGUAACGGCUCACCAAGGCUCCGAUCGGUAUCCGGCCUGAGAGGGCGGACGGACACACUGGAACUGAGACACGGUCCAGACUCCUACGGGAGGCAGCAGUGGGGAAUUGUUCACAAUGGGCGCAAGCCUGAUGACGCAACGCCGCGUGGAGGAUGAAGACCUUCGGG